rnacentral:rRNA from 1 species
GACGAACGCUGGCGGCGUGCCUAAUACAUGCAAGUAGAACGCUGAAGGAGGAGCUUGCUUCUCUGGAUGAGUUGCGAACGGGUGAGUAACGCGUAGGUAACCUGCCUGGUAGCGGGGGAUAACUAUUGGAAACGAUAGCUAAUACCGCAUAAGAGUAGAUGUUGCAUGACAUUUGCUUAAAAGGUGCAAUUGCAUCACUACCAGAUGGACCUGCGUUGUAUUAGCUAGUUGGUGAGGUAACGGCUCACCAAGGCGACGAUACAUAGCCGACCUGAGAGGGUGAUCGGCCACACUGGGACUGAGACACGGCCCAGACUCCUACGGGAGGCAGCAGUAGGGAAUCUUCGGCAAUGGACGGAAGUCUGACCGAGCAACGCCCGCGUGAGUGAAGAAAGGGUUUUUCGGAUCGUAAAAGCUUCUGUUGUAAAGAGAAAGGAACGAAGUG